AGAGUUUGAUCAUGGCUCAGGAUGAACGCUAGCGGGAGGCCUAACACAUGCAAGCCGAGCGGUAGAGAUUCUUCGGGAUCUUGAGAGCGGCGUACGGGUGCGGAACACGUGUGCAACCUACCUUUAUCUGGAGGAUAGCCUUUCGAAAGGAAGAUUAAUACUCCAUAAUAUAUUGAUUGGCAUCGAUUGAUAUUGAAAGCUCCGGCGGAUAGAGAUGGGCACGCGCAAGAUUAGCUAGUUGGUGAGGUAACGGCUCACCGAGGCGAUGAUCUUUAGGGGCCUGAGAGGGUGAUCCCCCACACUGGUACUGAGACACGGACCAGACUCCUACGGGAGGCAGCAGUGAGGAAUAUUGGUCAAUGGGUGCAAGCCUGAACCAGCCAUCCCGCGUGAAGGACGACUGCCCUAUGGGUUGUAAACCUCUUUUGUAUAGGGAUAAACCUACCCUCGUGAGGGUAGCUGAAGGUACUAUACGAAUAAGCACCGGCUAACUCCGUG
rnacentral:rRNA from 1 species